GACUGGGCUUCAGUGACACCAAACCCUCAUCCGACACCUGAUAAGGAGCUGGAGCGCAGCAUGGACACCAGCAGGCACGGAGCCAAAGAUACUCGGCGGCGGCACAUUCGAGCGAUGAGCGCUGAGAGUGCUGAGAGAAGGAGUCAAUGCAGGGAUGAGCACUACCGCUGCAGCAAAGAGGGUCAGGAAGUUUACAGCCAAAGGAGGGAGGGAAGGAUUUCUACUACGCACACACAUACAGAGGAGGAAUCAAAGAGAAGAGGAGGCAAGAAGGAAGGUUUCUCUCUCAUGAGGAGCUGGUUUAUUUUUAACCCGUGGCCUAAGAUAACAUUUUAAAAAUAUAAUAUCUGUGAUUUGGGAUGCAGUGAAGGAAUUAAUGUAAUCUUAUGCAGACUAGCAUGUACUGUAAUCUGUGUUUGCUUUGUUAUCCCUCCUUGACAAAUGCAGAAAAUUCAAUUAAAAAGGCAUCUUGGCUAGUGGA